rnacentral:rRNA from 1 species
UGGGGAAUAUUGCACAAUGGGCGCAAGCCUGAUGCAGCCAUGCCGCGUGUGUGAAGAAGGCCUUCGGGUUGUAAAGCACUUUCAGCGGGGAGGAAGGCGAUAAGGUUAAUAACCUUGUCGAUUGACGUUACCCGCAGAAGAAGCACCGGCUAACUCCGUGCCAGCAGCCGCGGUAAUACGGAGGGUGCAAGCGUUAAUCGGAAUUACUGGGCGUAAAGCGCACGCAGGCGGUUUGUUAAGUCAGAUGUUAAAUCCUCGGGCUCAACCCGGGAACUGCAUCGGAUACUGGAAAGCUUGAGUCUCGUAGAGGGGGGUAGAAUUCCAGGUGUAGCGGUGAAAUGCGUAGAGAUCUGGAGGAAUACCGGUGGCGAAGGCGGCCCCCUGGACGAAGACUGACGCUCAGGUGCGAAAGCGUGGGGAGCAAACAGG